AUUGAACGCUGGCGGCAUGCCUUACACAUGCAAGUCGAACGGCAGCACGGGUGCUUGCACCUGGUGGCGAGUGGCGAACGGGUGAGUAAUACAUCGGAACAUGUCCUGUAGUGGGGGAUAGCCCGGCGAAAGCCGGAUUAAUACCGCAUACGAUCUACGGAUGAAAGCGGGGGACCUUCGGGCCUCGCGCUAUAGGGUUGGCCGAUGGCUGAUUAGCUGGUUGGUGGGGUAAAGGCCUACCAAGGCGACGAUCAGUAGCUGGUCUGAGAGGAUGACCAGCCACACUGGGACUGAGACACGGCCCAGACUCCUACGGGAGGCAGCAGUGGGGAAUUUUGGACAAUGGGCGAAAGCCUGAUCCAGCAAUGCCGCGUGUGUGAAGAAGGCCUUCGGGUUGUAAAGCACUUUUGUCCGGAAAGAAAUCCUUGGCCCUAAUACGGUCGGGGGAUGACGGUACCGGAAGAAUAAGCACCGGCUAACUACGUG
rnacentral:rRNA from 1 species